UCGGGGGCUCACUCCUAACCCCUGUGACAUACCUUAAUGUUGCCUCGGCGGAUCAGCCCGCGCCCCGUAAAACGGGACGGCCCGCCAGAGGACCCAAACUCUAAUGUUUCUUAUUGUAACUUCUGAGUAAAACAAACAAAUAAAUCAAAACUUUCAACAACGGAUCUCUUGGUUCUGGCAUCGAUGAAGAACGCAGCAAAAUGCGAUAAGUAAUGUGAAUUGCAGAAUUCAGUGAAUCAUCGAAUCUUUGAACGCACAUUGCGCCCGCUGGUAUUCCGGCGGGCAUGCCUGUUCGAGCGUCAUUUCAACCCUCAAGCCCCCGGGUUUGGUGUUGGGGAUCGGCUCUGCCUUACGGCGGUGCCGCCCCCGAAAUACAUUGGCGGUCUCGCUGCAGCCUCCAUUGCGUAGUAGCUAACACCUCGCAACUGGAACGCGGCGCGGCCAUGCCGUAAAACCCCAACUUCUGAAUGUUGACCUCGGAUCAGGUAGGAAUACCCGCUGAACUUAAGCAUAUCAAAAGCCGGAGGAGAU
rnacentral:rRNA from 1 species